GGUUGUAUGGAGUAGUUGGUUAACUUAGGAGAUUCUGACGUGUGGGUGCACUCCCACAUUUGACUUCUCUUGCCCUGGGUUCGAAUCCCAGUACGACCU